UACGUAGGGUGCAAGCAUUAAUCGGAUUUAUUGGGCGUAAAGGGCGUGUAGGCGGACAUAUAAGUCAGAUGUGAAAUCCCGGGGCUCAACUCCGGAACAGCAUUUGAAACUGUAUAUCUAGAGGGUAGACGGAGAAAACGGAAUUCCACAAGUAGCGGUGAAAUGCGUAGAUAUGUGGAAGAACACCAGUGGCGAAGGCGGUUUUCUAGUUUAUACCUGACGCUGAGGCGCGAAAGCCAGGGGAGCGAACGGG
rnacentral:rRNA from 1 species